UUUUGGAGGGGGCCAGUCUGGUGCCAGCAGCCGCGGUAAUUCCAGCUCCAAUAGCGUAUAUUAAAGUUGUUGCAGUUAAAAAGCUCGUAGUUGAAUUUCGGGAUUUGUCAGUUGGUCGGGCUUCACUGUCCGUACUGGCUUGAUGGAUUCUUACCUUCUGAAUAACCAGCAUGCUAUUAAGUUAGUGCGUUGGGGAAGCAGAUCUAUUACCUUGAAAAAAUUAGAGUGCUUAAAGCGGGCUUGUGCUUGAAUAGAUUAGCAUGGAAUAAUAAAAUAGGACGGCAUGGUUCUAUUUUGUUGGUUUCUAGGAUCACCGUAAUGAUUAAUAGGGAUAGUUGGGGGCAUUAGUAUUCAAUUGUCAGAGGUGAAAUUCUUGGAUUUAUUGAAGACUAACUUCUGCGAAAGCAUUUGCCAAGGAUGUUUUCAUUAAUCAAGAACGAAAGUUAGGGGAUCGAAGACGAUCAGAUACCGUCGUAGUCUUAACCAUAAACUAUGCCGACUAGGAAUCGGACGAAGGUUUAUU
rnacentral:rRNA from 1 species